rnacentral:rRNA from 1 species
GACGAACGCUGGCGGCGUGCCUAAUACAUGCAAGUAGAACGCUGAAGAGAGGAGCUUGCUCUUCUUGGAUGAGUUGCGAACGGGUGAGUAACGCGUAGGUAACCUGCCUUGUAGCGGGGGAUAACUAUUGGAAACGAUAGCUAAUACCGCAUAACAAUGGAUGACACAUGUCAUUUAUUUGAAAGGGGCAAUUGCUCCACUACAAGAUGGACCUGCGUUGUAUUAGCUAGUAGGUGAGGUAAUGGCUCACCUAGGCGACGAUACAUAGCCGACCUGAGAGGGUGAUCGGCCACACUGGGACUGAGACACGCCCCAGACUCCCACGGGAAGCAGCAGUAGGGCAUCUUCGGCAAUGGGGGCGACCCUGACCGAGCAACGCCGCGUGAGUGAAGAAGGUUUUCGGAUCGUAAAGCUCUGUUGUAAGUCAAGAACGGGUGUGAGAGUGGAAAGUUCACACUAUGACGGUAGCUUACCAGAAAGGGACGGCUAACUACGUG